CUGAUGUUCUUCUCGUCUUCUUAAACAUAAAUAACAAACUUAGUUACCUGACUUUAUGGAUUAGCUUUUGAUAACAGCUGCUACUGCAGAGAUGGAAAAG